AUGAACUUCUGCCUUCUGUGGAAAGGACUGAAGAUGGAAAAAAGCAUGGAAAAGAGGAAGGGGGAAGAUAAAGGAGAGGAAGAGGCAAAAGAGGAAGGGUAUAGUCAGGAUACACCAUGACACUGGUUGUCACAUCUCUGAAGACACCAGUUGGCUGUUAUGGUUUCUCAUGUGUUUCUUGUCCUGGAACCUUGGUACUCAGGUAUCUAGCAUUAAAUUGAAAUGUCUGAUAUUUC